rnacentral:rRNA from 1 species
UACGAAGGGUGCAAGCGUUACUCGGAAUUACUGGGCGUAAAGCGUGCGUAGGUGGUUUGUUAAGUCUGUUGUGAAAGCCCCGGGCUCAACCUGGGAAUGGCAAUGGAUACUGGCAAGCUAGAGUGCGGUAGAGGGUAGUGGAAUUCCCGGUGUAGCGGUGAAAUGCGUAGAGAUCGGGAGGAACACCAGUGGCGAAGGCGGCUACCUGGACCAGCACUGACACUGAGGCACGAAAGCGUGGGGGAGCGAUCCGG